rnacentral:miRNA from 1 species
CUGACCUAUGAAUUGACAGCU